ACAGGGAUUGCCUUAGUAACGGCGAGUGAAGCGGCAACAGCUCAAAUUUGAAAUCUGGCUCUUUCAGAGUCCGAGUUGUAAUUUGCAGAGGGCGCUUUGGCGUUGGCAGCGGUCCAAGUUCCUUGGAACAGGACGUCACAGAGGGUGAGAAUCCCGUACGUGGUCGCUAGCCAUCGCCGUGUAAAGCCCCUUCGACGAGUCGAGUUGUUUGGGAAUGCAGCUCUAAAUGGGAGGUAAAUUUCUUCUAAAGCUAAAUACUGGCCAGAGACCGAUAGCGCACAAGUAGAGUGAUCGAAAGAUGAAAAGCACUUUGGAAAGAGAGUCAAACAGCACGUGAAAUUGUUGAAAGGGAAGCGCUUGCAGCCAGACUUGCCUGUAGUUGCUCAUCCGGGCUUUUGCCCGGUGCACUCUUCUGCGGGCAGGCCAGCAUCAGUUUGGGCGGUUGGAUAAAGGUCUCUGUCAUGUACCUCUCUUCGGGGAGAACUUAUAGGGGAGACGACAUACAACCAGCCUGGACUGAGGUCCGCGCAUUUGCUAGGAUGCUGGCGUAAUGGCUGUAAGCGGCCCGUCUUGAAACACGGACCAAGGAGUCUAACAUCUAUGCGAGUGUUUGGGUGUCAAGCCCGAGCGCGUAAUGAAAGUGAACGGAGGUGGGACCCCUUUAGGGUGCACCAUCGACCGAUCCUGAUGUCUUCGGAUGGAUUUGAGUAAGAGCAUGGCUGUUGGGACCCGAAAGAUGGUGAACUAUGCUUGAAUAGGGUGAAGCCAGAGGAAACUCUGGUGGAGGCUCGCAGCGGUUCUGACGUGCAAAUCGAUCGUCAAAUUUGGGCAUAGGGGCGAAAGACUAA
rnacentral:rRNA from 1 species